AGAGUUUGAUCCUGGCUCAGAUUGAACGCUGGCGGCAUGCCUUACACAUGCAAGUCGAACGGCAGCACGGGAGCAAUCCUGGUGGCGAGUGGCGAGCGGGUGAGUAAUACAUCGGAACGUGCCCUGUCGUGGGGGAUAACUAGUCGAAAGAUUAGCUAAUACCGCAUACGACCUGAGGGUGAAAGCGGGGGACCGUAAGGCCUCGCGCGAUAGGAGCGGCCGAUGUCUGAUUAGCUAGUUGGUGGGGUAAAGGCCCACCAAGGCGACGAUCAGUAGCUGGUCUGAGAGGACGAUCAGCCACACUGGGACUGAGACACGGCCCAGACUCCUACGGGAGGCAGCAGUGGGGAAUUUUGGACAAUGGGGGCAACCCUGAUCCAGCAAUGCCGCGUGUGUGAAGAAGGCCUUCGGGUUGUAAAGCACUUUUGUCCGGAAAGAAAUCCCUUGCCCUAAUACGGCGGGGGGAUGACGGUACCGGAAGAAUAAGCACCGGCUAACUACGUGCCAGCAGCCGCGGUAAUACGUAGGGUGCGAGCGUUAAUCGGAAUUACUGGGCGUAAAGCGUGCGCAGGCGGUUUUGUAAGACAGGCGUGAAAUCCCCGAGCUCAACUUGGGAAUGGCGCUUGUGACUGCAAGGCUAGAGUAUGUCAGAGGGGGGUAGAAUUCCACGUGUAGCAGUGAAAUGCGUAGAGAUGUGGAGGAAUACCGAUG
rnacentral:rRNA from 1 species